rnacentral:rRNA from 1 species
AGGAAAAGAAACCAACAGGGAUUGCCCUAGUAACGGCGAGUGAAGCGGCAACAGCUCAAAUUUGAAAUCUGGCGUCUUUGGCGUCCGAGUUGUAAUUUGCAGAGGGCGCUUUGGCAUUGGCAGCGGUCCAAGUUCCUUGGAACAGGACGUCACAGAGGGUGAGAAUCCCGUACGUGGUCGCUAGCCUUUACCGUGUAAAGCCCCUUCGACGAGUCGAGUUGUUUGGGAAUGCAGCUCUAAAUGGGAGGUAAAUUUCUUCUAAAGCUAAAUACUGGCCAGAGACCGAUAGCGCACAAGUAGAGUGAUCGAAAGAUGAAAAGCACUUUGGAAAGAGAGUUAAAAAGCACGUGAAAUUGUUGAAAGGGAAGCGCUUGCAGCCAGACUUGCCUGUAGUUGCUCAUCCGGGUUUUUACCCGGUGCACUCUUCUACGGGCAGGCCAGCAUCAGUUUGGGCGGUUGGAUAAAGGUCUCUGUCAUGUACCUCCUCUCGGGGAGAACUUAUAGGGGAGACGACAUGCAACCAGCCCGGACUGAGGUCCGCGCAUCUGCUAGGAUGCUGGCGUAAUGGCUGUAAGCGGCCCGU